AUUGAACGCUGGCGGCAUGCCUUACACAUGCAAGUCGAACGGCAGCACGGGAGCAAUCCUGGUGGCGAGUGGCGAACGGGUGAGUAAUAUAUCGGAACGUGCCCAGUCGUGGGGAUAACGUAGCGAAAGCUACGCUAAUACCGCAUACGAUCUAUGGAUGAAAGCGGGGGAUCGCAAGACCUCGCGCGAUUGGAGCGGCCGAUAUCAGAUUAGGUAGUUGGUGAGGUAAAGGCUCACCAAGCCGACGAUCUGUAGCUGGUCUGAGAGGACGACCAGCCACACUGGGACUGAGACACGGCCCAGACUCCUACGGGAGGCAGCAGUGGGAAUUUGGACAAUGGGCGCAAGCCUGAUCCAGCAAUGCCGCGUGCAGGAUGAAGGCCUUCGGUUGUAAC
rnacentral:rRNA from 1 species